GAAUUGACUGCAGUCUCCCCAAAGGUAACUCGUCCAGUACUUUUCAAGAUAAAGCAAUCGUUAUGUUUGCCUUUCCAUUUCAUAAUCUUGGAGAGUCUACAUCCUAGGAGUUUUCAUAUAAAGAUGUGUAUCUCAAAGUAUAUCUGUUGUUGAGGACAUCUGUACUCCACAGACACGCUUUUUAGAGCGUAGAAGCUUUCUGCUGUGUAAGACCUUUGCUCUGACAUGGCAGGCAGUCCUAUAUGGGGCAGCCACCUAUUGAUUCUCUGGAUGCUGGAAGUCUUCACCACUGUCAGCAGAGAGCACAGAGCUGCACCACACGUUUCUCUUUCUCUGCAGGAGAGGUUCAGCCAAGAAGGUUGAAAAAGCUGCAGUGCAGGAUGCGCCUGGGAUGUCUGUAUGCUGCUCUGUGUAAGUCUUCAGGGUGGGUCUCUCUGACCUACACAGGCGCUAAAAGUGCUGUGUAGGAACCUACCACAGGUACUUCAGUCAUACUUCUUUUCUGGUGUGUGCAUACAGUCUCUCUGCAUCACAAGUGUUGCUGUGCCUUCAGUAACAGUUCCAGUUCACUAAGCCCAUUAGGAUUAGUUGAGGUGGGAGCCCCUCUACAGCUGGUGAGCGUAACUCCUACAGUUACAGCUAUGUGAAACUCUCUGUAGGAGAGUAGUACUGAAAAUUGUUAGCACAGUUUUUGCUAACUGAAAUAGAAAUACAUUGUGGUUGACAGAGCAGUAGGGUCAUAGGGUUAUUAAAAUAGUAAAGGAGCUCAAGAAGCCUGUAGUCUAAGCUUCUGCUCCAGGCAGGGUCAGCCGUGAGAUCAGGCCAGGCUACUCAGAGCUUCAUUCAUUCUGGUCCUGAAAAUCUCAAAGGAUAGAGGCUGUGCAGCCUCUUUGAGCAACCCCUUUCACUGCUGACUGUCUUCACGGUGAAAAAGUUUCUUCUUAUAUCACCUCUGAACCUCUCCUGUUUCACCUUAUACCAUUUCUUCCUGCAGCUUACCACUAUGAAGAGCUGGGCUCCAUCCUCCUCCUUAGGUAUCAGAAUGCUGCUACUAGGUACCCCCAAAGCCCUCUCUUCCCCAGGCAGAACCAGCCCCAUCCCUCUGCCUCCCCUUACAGGGCAACUGCUCCACCUCCCUCAGCGCCUUGGUGGCCCUCUGAUGCGCUUGGCCCAGC
rnacentral:lncRNA from 1 species